GAAAUGCGAUAAGUAAUGUGAAUUGCAGAAUUCAGUGAAUCAUCGAAUCUUUGAACGCACCUUGCGCUCCUUGGUAUUCCUUGGAGCAUGCCUGUUUGAGUAUCAUGAAAUCUUCAAAGUAAAUCUUUUGUUAACUCAAUUGGUUUCUACUUUGGUAUUGGAGGUCUUUGCAGCUUCACACCUGCUCCUCUUUGUUCAUUAGCUGGAUCUCAGUGUUAUGCUUGGUUCCACUCGGCGUGAUAAGUUAUCUAUCGCUGAGGACACUGUAAAAGGUGGCCAAGGUAAAUGCAGAUGAACCGCUUCUGAUAGUCCAUUGACUUGGACAAUACUUUUAUGAUCUGAUCUCAAAUCAGGUAGGACUACCCGCUGAACUUAAGC
rnacentral:misc_RNA from 1 species